AAAGAAAAAAAAAAUAAACCUCUCUCUCUCUGCCGAAACUAGCAACCAAAAUAGAGCAUUCCUUCUCCAAGCUUGUUCUCGCUCCACAGGCCUUCGAUCGACCCCAGACCACGUUCCACAGCUUCACCUUGAUCUUGCGCAGCUGCAGGAGGCAGCCUUGCGCCGCAGAACGGUCGGAAACGGCGGCGGAAGUCCGGUUAGUUUUAAGCCCGUUUUAGUUCCAAGCUCGAUAACUCGUGCUUCCGGCCACCGAUCCUUGCCAAACUGCAUCCUCGUGCUUCCCUCAACCUCCUGAAGCCCCCAGAAGCAGCCUUGCACGGCGGCGCAUCCCGUAGCAGCAACUACAAGUCAACCCCGCCAAGAACGAGACCGGAACUAUCGAUCCAAAUAUCUUGAGCUACAGGACGUCGUUUUGAGUGAUUCUUGAACCAGUGAGUUCUUCUUGAGUUUCUUAACAACUCUUCAGAAGGAAUCGAAGCCUUAAAUUGACGUUUUGACGUCGAAAUCGAGCCUUGCCGGAUUCUGCAAAAUUCUGGAAUUUUUCCGACCACCGAAGCUUUCGAUCGGUAUAUCUCGAGCUACAGACCAUAUUUUUCUGUGAUUCUUGAACCAGUGAGUUCUUCUUGAGUUUCUCAACAACUCUUCAGAAGGAAUCGAAGCCUUAAAUUGACGUUUUUACGUCGAAUUGAAGCUCGCCGUUUUCUGCAGUUUCUCGCCGGAUUCUGGAAAAAUUCCGGCCACCUUCAACUGUUCUAGGUGAUUGACGGUUUGAGUUGGCGGACGAUUGUGAAUCGUAUUUUGAGCUGUUAAGAAGACGCAGCGGGAUUAGAGCGGGUAAUCCUACAGGACAGGAGAACCAGGACGGUGAUCGUGCGGUUAGAGCAAUGGUUAUAGUUUUACAGCAAUUGUAAUAGUGAGGUGAGUUAAGCUCAUUUGAGCCUUACAAUUUGAUUUGGUGGGAGUGUGCUGUAAUAAAUAACUUGAGGAUUUGGGUUAUUGUAAAUUUGAGAGUUGUGAAGUGUGGUUGUUUGUGAGAAAAAAAUUCAGGAUGUUAGUUGUAAUUUGUUAUUAUUCAUGUUUCGGAUUUGAAUUGAUUAUUCAAAAUUCGGGGCGUGACAGUUUGGUAUCAGAGCGUAAGGUACAUAUUUGGUGAUAAUCAGUACCUCCCGAGUGAUGGCCCGUCUGCAGCGGAUCCCCAUCAUAUACUCUUCGGUACUGGUAUAAUCAUUGGGUAUGU